rnacentral:lncRNA from 1 species
UCCUGUCUGCAGAGACGGCUCUCAGCAUGUGUGAAGCUCGGCAAAUGCUGACAAGAGAUUUUAAUUUGAUAUUAAAGUAAAUUUUUUCAUGGCGCACC